rnacentral:rRNA from 1 species
CAGAGGGUGCAAGCGUUAAUCGGAAUUACUGGGCGUAAAGCGUGCGUAGACGGUUACAUAAGUCGGAUGUGAAAGCCCCGGGCUCAACCUGGGAAUGGCAUUCGAGACUGUGUAGCUAGGAUGCGGAAGAGGGAAGCGGAAUUUCCGGUGUAGCGGUGAAAUGCGUAGAUAUCGGAAGGAACACCAGUGGCGAAAGCGGCUUCCUGGUCCAGCAUCGACGUUCAGGCACGAAAGCGUGGGGAGCAAACAGGAUUAGAUACCCUGGUAGUCCACGCCAUAAACGAUGACAACUAGACGUUGAGAGGGUAAGCCUCCCAGUGUCGCAGCUAACGCGUUAAGUUGUCCGCCUGGGGAGUACGGCCGCAAGGUUG